GAAUUUUGGACAAUGGGCGAAAGCCUGAUCCAGCCAUGCCGCGUGUGUGAAGAAGGCCUUUUGGUUGUAAAGCACUUUAAGCGAGGAGGAGGCUACUUGGAUUAAUACUCUAGGAUAGUGGACGUUACUCGCAGAAUAAGCACCGGGCAACUCGGUGCCAGCAGCCGCGGUAAUACAGAGGGUGCGAGCGUUAAUCGGAUUUACCGGGCGUAAAGCGUGCGUAGGCGGCUUUUUAAGUCGGAUGUGAAAUCCCUGAGCUUAACUUAGGAAUUGCAUUCGAUACUGGGAAGCUAGAGUAUGGGAGAGGAUGGUAGAAUUCCAGGUGUAGCGGUGAAAUGCGUAGAGAUCUGGAGGAAUACCGAUGGCGAAGGCAACCCCCUGGGCCUGUACUGACGCUCAUGCACGAAAGCGUGGGGAGCAAAC
rnacentral:rRNA from 1 species